GGGUGGGAAAGCAGUCUGCCUGUGUUAUCUGGCACCCCACUGAUCACCAAUGUUAUGUAGGCUGAUCUGGCUAGCUAGGUGAGUGACCCCUUCCGCCUUCACCACCUGUGAAUCCCUCCAGAAACUGUUUGAAUCAACUGGUCAAGGAGAACCUUCCCAGGGAGAGAAGUCCUGAGGAAGCUGUUCUUUGGUCAAGGAUAUACAAGUAGCUUCACUCUCCUGUUAGAACCUCCAACCAGGCAAAGCAUCCCUUCUCCAAGGUGAAAGUAAAUGACAGGAUGCUUCCUAGAAAGUGGCGGUUAUUUGUUUGUUUAUUGUUCUGG
rnacentral:snRNA from 1 species